rnacentral:sRNA from 1 species
UUGAAUAAAAAAAAUAAAAUUGGAGCUGCCUUUACUGAUGAUGGCUUUGCCAUGGGUGUGGCUUACAUUCUAAAGCUUUUGGAUCAGUACCGAGAGUUUGACUCACUUCACUGGUUCCAGUCUGUUAGAGAGAAAUACCUGAAGGAGAUAAGAGCAGUUGCUAAGCAACAGAAUGUGCAGUCGGCCAGUCAAGAUGAAAAACUCUUACAAACCAUGAAUCUCACUCAGAAGCGACUAGAUGUCUAUCUACAGGUAGAGGAGCCUAAGAGUCACAUCUGCUUUGACUUACCAUUUGAUAUUCAUGACUUCUUAAUGUCUGAAAAGCAGAAGCCAUAUAGAAACUCCCAUUUUCACAAGUGAGAUGAAUAGUGGCAAAAAGACUAUAUUUUAAAAUGAGUGCUAUUUGGAAGCCAUUUGACUCAGAUCUUAAAAAUGGGCGGGUUACUUAUUUCAGUUUCUGUAUUUAUGAUUUCCACUAGAGCUUUUAAAAACAAUAAUAGGCAUAAAAAUGCAUAUAUUUUUGGUAUUUUGCCAUAAUAAGUAUUUUUGGUUUUUAUUUCAAAUUUUUAAAUU